rfam:Phalacrocorax carbo contig73315, whole genome shotgun sequence.
UUCUCUGGUUAGUUUUGCAGGUUUGCAUCCAGCUGUGUGAUACUCUGCUGUGCAAAUCCAUGCAAAACUGACUGUGGCA